rnacentral:tRNA from 1 species
GGGCGAAUGGUCUAGUGGUAUGAUUUUCCCUUAGCAUGGGAGAGGUCCAGGGUUCAAUUCCCUGUUCGUCCA